rnacentral:sRNA from 1 species
UAUUUUUUUUUCGUACCAGUUUUGUAAAUAUGUAAAUAAUUCUAAUUAGUUUUAAGUCUAAAGUGUGAAUUUAGUUUUAAGUUUAACAACAAAAAAAAACAGUGUAUGUAUGUCUUAAUUUCCUCGGAGUCGAGCAGAGCAUACAGAUGAAGGAACAACAAUUAGGGGCAGUACAGCAGCACACACACCUCAGGAACAGUACGCCAUUAUUCAGCCACAACCAACCAGCAAUUCAGCCCAACCAGCCCCAACAAAUCAGCGAUCAACACAAUGGAACAUAAAACAACCAGAGAACAAACUACACAUAAGAAGCAUUCAAGCAGUGAAACUAAUGAUAACCGAUGACGACUUGGAAACGACUUGGAUUUGAAGUGUGGAGUAGGCCUACUGGGGAUACCACGUAAAAAAAAAACGCGCCCAGAUCUUUACCAAAUGUUGGUGGUGUGGAAAAGAGUUCAUUAAACUGUCCAAAUAUAAACGUAUAGUACGAAUAAAUAAAGAAUGACCAAUUCA